AUUGAACGCUGGCGGCAGGCCUAACACAUGCAAGUCGAGCGGAUGAAGGGAGCUUGCUCCUGGAUUCAGCGGCGGACGGGUGAGUAAUGCCUAGGAAUCUGCCUGGUAGUGGGGGAUAACGUCCGGAAACGGGCGCUAAUACCGCAUACGUCCUGAGGGAGAAAGUGGGGGAUCUUCGGACCUCACGCUAUCAGAUGAGCCUAGGUCGGAUUAGCUAGUUGGUGGGGUAAAGGCCUACCAAGGCGACGAUCCGUAACUGGUCUGAGAGGAUGAUCAGUCACACUGGAACUGAGACACGGUCCAGACUCCUACGGGAGGCAGCAGUGGGGAAUAUUGGACAAUGGGCGAAAGCCUGAUGCAGCCAUGCCGCGUGUGUGAAGAAGGUCUUCGGAUUGUAAAGCACUUUAAGUUGGGAGGAAGGUCAGUAAGUUAAUACCUUGCUGUUUUGACGUUACCAACAGAAUAAGCACCGGCUAACUUCGUG
rnacentral:rRNA from 1 species